UCUCAGCGACCCAACCGCCUGCCCGAUUCCCGGGCAUGGCACCAACCCCAUCGUCAGCGGUUCCGCUGAUGU
rnacentral:sRNA from 1 species